rnacentral:rRNA from 1 species
UGGGGAAUAUUGGACAAUGGGCGAAAGCCUGAUCCAGCCAUGCCGCGUGUGUGAAGAAGGUCUUCGGAUUUUAAAGCACUUUAAGUUGGGAGGAAGGGCAGUAAGCGAAUACCUUGCUGUUUUGACGUUACCGACAGAAUAAGCUCCGGCCAACUCUGUGCCAGCAGCCGCGGUAAUACAGAGGGUGCAAGCGUUAAUCGGAAUUACUGGGCGUAAAGCGCGCGUAGGUGGUUCGUUAAGUUGGAUGUGAAAGCCCCGGGCUCAACCUGGGAACUGCAUCCGAAACUGGCGAGCUAGAGUAGGGCAGAGGGUGGUGGAAUUUCCUGGGUAGCGGUGAAAUGCGUAGAUAUAGGAAGGAACACCAGUGGCGAAGGCGGCCACCUGGGCUCAUACUGACACUGAGGUGCGAAAGCGUGGGGAGCAAACAGG